GUCCACAGACCCACCAUCCUUGAACACAUCUGAUCUUGUCUGAUCUUGGAAGCUACACAGGGUCAGGCCUGGUUAGUAUUUGGAUGGGAGACUGCUUGGGUAUACCGGGUACUGUAGGCU
ensembl:rRNA 5S_rRNA 5S ribosomal RNA